AAGCCAUGAUGUGGGCAUUGAGACCAAUAGCCCUUGAACCUCUCCCAAGCUUCACUAAAGCCCUCUAGGUUCUUCUGCUGAAAGCUAGAGAUCGCAUUCCUGAUCUU
rnacentral:snoRNA from 1 species